rnacentral:rRNA from 1 species
AUUGAACGCUGGCGGCAUGCCUAACACAUGCAAGUCGAACGAGGCGCGGACGUGUGAGUAAUGUCUGGGAAACUGCUUGAUGGAUGGGGAUAACUCCUGGAAACGGUAGCUAAUACCGCAUACCAGUAGAUGUGCCCAGAUGGCAUUAGCUUGUUGGUGGGGGAACGGCUCACCAAGGCGACGAUCCCUAGCUGGUCUGAGAGGAUGACCAGCCACACUGGAACUGAGACACGGUCCAGACUCCUACGGGAGGCAGCAGUGGGGAAUAUUGCACAAUGGGCGCAAGCCUGACGGAGCAAUGCAGCGUGUAUGAAGAAGGUCUUCGGGUUGUAAAGUACUUUCAGUGGGGAAGCGUUACCCGCAGAAGAAGCACCGGCUAACUACGUGCCAGCAGCCGCGGUAAUUC